rnacentral:ncRNA from 1 species
GGGCACCUUGCAGAUGAUGGUUUCAUGUCCGCCAGCCGGUUGGCCUGAAAGAAUAGGGAACACGGUGCGGCCUGAUAUUGGGCCAAUUCCGGGACUGCCCCCGCAACUGUAAGCGAAGAGCAUGUCUGCUAAUCCACUGACGCCGAACCAAGAAAAGGUGCGGUUUUGGGAAGGAGCAGGCGCGCAUUGAUCCGCAAGUCAGGAGACCUGCCAUCGCAACUGAAACGUAA